rnacentral:rRNA from 1 species
UGUUAAUAGCAUACUCAUUUGACGUUAGCUGCAGAAGAAGCACCGGCUAACUCCGUGCCAGCAGCCGACGGUAAUACGGAGGGUGCGAGCGUUAAUCGGAAUUACUGGGCGUAAAGCGCAUGCAGGUGGUUUGUUAAGUCAGAUGUGAAAGCCCGGGGCUCAACCUCGGAAUUGCAUUUGAAACUGGCAAACUAGAGUACUGUAGAGGGGGUAGAAUUUCAGGUGUAGCGGUGAAAUGCGUAGAGAUCUGAAGGAAUACCGGUGGCGAAGGCGGCCCCCCUGGACAGAUACUGACACUCAGAUGCGAAAGCGUGGGGAGCAAACAGGAUUAGAUACCCUGGUAG